UUCCAGUGUGCAUACUUCCCGGUGAACCCUAAACCCCUUGGGGGCAGGAACUGUGUCCUUAUUUUUCAUCCCUACGACCCUGAGCACAGUAACUAACACAGAAAACCAGAUCUGAUUUCAUGAAUCCAACAAAAGGCUACUAAAUUCCAACUAUGCGUGGUGAGUGAUCAACCUCGGAGUAGGCCUGCAUGCUGAGACCUGGAGCAACUGCGGGUGGGUCGGUGUCAUUCAUUAUAUUGCAGUAUCAACUUGCAAUGUUCCUGGUCCAGCCUCCCCCAGCAGCUGGGAUUACAAAUGGAAACAGAAAAGGUGACUCAGCAAAGUGCGGCUCUGCUAACAGUCCUGAUGUCACCAGAUGACACCAGAUAAUCCCGGAUGCCAUCAGCUGACACAGCCAGCUACUGGUCACUGCCAAUGCCGACCACCACCAUCUGAUACCAGCUUGUGGUGGACACCAUAAGUCAGCUGUACUGGGUGCUGUGUCUCUGCCGCUGGUCUUCGUUGGCUGCUGGUCUCUGGAGCUCUUUGAUGUUAACAGUUCUGAGUGCUUAUUCAUUCUGCCCAUUCUGCUCAGGAUAAAAAUCCUAAGGCCUGUGCUGCAGAACACAGGAAGGAGCCCUCCUAGACUACAUCCAGCAAUGCCAGGAGGGCAGCUUGCAGCCCGUUUCAGUGAGGGUUUGGACUGAAGACAGGGAAUCUCCUGGAAGGCUUGCUGUGAAUGUUAGUGCUGAGGAUCAAACUCACACCUCAGAUGUGCUAGGUGAGUGGUCCACCCC